GAAACGAAGAGCCAUGAUCUUGGAGUAAAGACAAUUAACCAUGUAACAAACUCACAAUAGUACUACAGAUGAGUAAAACAGACAUUGUGCACGUUAAUUAUCCUUCCUCUCUUCCUCCUCUUCUUCUUCUGCUUCUCACUUUUUUUUAUUCUUUCAUGCUAGAUCUAAGCACAAUUUUUCUUUGUGCUAGAUUUAAAGCACACAGGAAGAACAAGAACGAGAAGAAGAUUCUAAAUCCCAAAGAAGUGUAGGACAUCACAACUAGGAAACAGCCCUUGGAAUAUUGAAUAUGAUGGAGAAUGGUGGGAUGAUGGCAUAGUGGUAGUGGCUAGCCAAGUAUGGCUUCUCCAAAUAGGCCACAGUUGGUGAAGGAUUCACUUGCAUGAACGUAUAGGUUCCCGCGAGCAACUCCCCCACGUAAGGCCUCCCUUCCUUUAAUGUUCUCAGGACCUUCCUCACAGCAGCCCCCACCACCUUCCUCACUGCAGCCCCCACCACUUUGGCUUUCCUCCUUAACAGCCUCCUCAGCCCUGCCGCUCGGACCCUCGGCCUCCG
rnacentral:lncRNA from 1 species